rnacentral:piRNA from 1 species
UAGGUACCAGCUGGAGAUGUUUUGUCCCU